GCGCACCAGGCGCGAAUCCUUCGCAAUGCGGGAAACCGCGACGAGGGGACUCCCAGUGCCUACGCUCAGCGUAGGCUGUUCCCGAGCCUAGAAAGCUCGGGGAGUAAGGGCUGGGUAAGACGGGUGCCAGCCGCCGCGGUAAUACCCGCAGCCCGAGUGGUGGCCACUAUUAUUGGGCCUAAAAGCGUCCGUAGCCGGCCCGGUAAAUGCCUGGGGUAAAUCGUGAGGCCUAACCUCACGAAUUCCGGGUAGACUGCCGGGCUAGGGACCGGAGGAGGGAGAGGGUACGUCCAGGGGUAGGGGUGGAAACCCUGUAAUCCCUGGAGGACCACCGGUGGCGAAGGCGCUCUCCUAGGACGGGUCCGACGGUGAGGGACGAAAGCCAGGGGAGCGAACCGGAUUA
rnacentral:rRNA from 1 species